rnacentral:rRNA from 1 species
AUUGAACGCUGGCGGCGUGCUUAACACAUGCAAGUCGAUCGGUAACAGGUGUAGCAAUACAUGCUGACGAGAGGCGGACGGGUGAGUAAUGCUUGGGAAUCUGCCUAUUAGGUGGGGGACAACCCAGGGAAACUCGGGCUAAUACCGCAUACGCUCUACGGAGGAAAGACCGGGACCGGCAAGGCCUGGCGCUAAUAGAUGAGCCCAAGUCGGAUUAGCUAGUUGGUAGGGAACGGCCUACCAAGGCGACAAUCCGUAGCUGGCCUGAGAGGACGACCAGCCACACCGGAACUGAGACACGGU